rnacentral:rRNA from 1 species
UACGUAGGGGGCAAGCGUUGUCCGGAGUUAUUGGGCGUAAAGAGCGCGUAGGCGGCCUGACAGGUCUGCUGUGAAAACUCGAGGCUCAACCUCGAGAUGUCGGCGGAAACCGUCUGGCUAGAGUCCGGAAGAGGAGAGUGGAAUUCCUGGUGUAGCGGUGAAAUGCGCAGAUAUCAGGAAGAACACCUAUGGCGAAGGCAGCUCUCUGGGACGGUACUGACGCUGAGACGCGAAAGCGUGGGGAGCGAACAGG